rnacentral:rRNA from 1 species
AUUGAACGCUGGCGGCAGGCCUAACACAUGCAAGUCGAACGGUAACAGGAAGCAGCUUGCUGCUUUGCUGACGAGUGGCGGACGGGUGAGUAAUGUCUGGGAAACUGCCCGAUGGAGGGGGAUAACUACUGGAAACGGUAGCUAAUACCGCAUAACGUCGCAAGACCAAAGAGGGGGACCUUAGGGACUCUUGCCAUCGGAUGUGCCCAGCUGGGAUUAGCUAGUAGGUGGGGUAACGGCUCACCUAGGCGACGAUCCCUAGCUGGUCUGAGAGGAUGACCAGCCACACUGGAACUGAGACACGGUCCAGACUCCUACGGGAGGCAGCAGUGGGGAAUAUUGCACAAUGGGCGCAAGCCUGAUGCAGCCAUGCCGCGUGUAUGAAGAAGGCCUUCGGGUUGUAAAGUACUUUCAGCGGGGAGGAAGGGAGUAAAGUUAAUACCUUUGCUCAUUGACGUUACCCGCAGAAGAAGCACCGGCUAAGUCCGUG